rnacentral:rRNA from 1 species
UACGAAGGGGGCUAGCGUUGCUCGGAAUCACUGGGCGUAAAGCGCACGUAGGCGGAUUGUUAAGUCAGGGGUGAAAUCCUGGAGCUCAACUCCAGAACUGCCUUUGAUACUGGCAAUCUCGAGUUCGGGAGAGGUGAGUGGAACUGCGAGUGUAGAGGUGAAAUACGUAGAUAUUCGCAAGAACACCAGUGGCGAAGGCGGCUCACUGGCCCGAUACUGACGCUGAGGUGCGAAAGCGUGGGGAGCAAACAGG